UUCGGACCUGCAAAGAUUAUAGGU
rnacentral:siRNA from 1 species